rnacentral:rRNA from 1 species
UACGUAGGGUGCGAGCGUUAAUCGGAAUUACUGGGCGUAAAGCGUGCGCAGGCGGUUUGUUGUGUCGGCGGUGAAAGCCCCGGGCUUAACCUGGGAAUGGCCGUCGAAACUGGCGAACUGGAGUGUGGCAGAGGGGGGUGGAAUUCCGCGUGUAGCAGUGAAAUGCGUAGAGAUCGGGAGGAACACCAGUGGCGAAGGCGGCCUUCUGGACCAAUACUGACGCUCAUGCACGAAAGCGUGGGGAGCAAACAGG